rnacentral:rRNA from 1 species
GAGUAGUAAAAGUUAAGAUCUUUAAACUCAAAAAAUUUGGCGGUAUUUUAUCUUAUCAGAGGAACCUGUUUAUUAAUUGAUUCUCCACAACUUUAUUUACUUUUAUUAUAUAAUUUGUAUACCGCUGUCAUGAAUAUAUUAGUAAAUUAUUUUCAAAUUUUUUAUGAAAGUUAUGUUAGGUCAAGGUGCAGUUUUUAAAGAUUAAAAUGGGUUACAGUUAUUAUUAUGGAUGUUUGAAAUUUAUUUGAAAUAGGAUUUGUUAGUAAAUUUAUUAUAGAUUUUGCAUGAAUAAAGAUUCUAGAAUAUG